rnacentral:rRNA from 1 species
UACGAAGGGGGCUAGCGUUGUUCGGAAUUACUGGGCGUAAAGCGCGCGUAGGCGGUGAUCUUUGUCAGAGGUGAAAUCCCGAGGCUCAACUUCGGAAUUGCCUUUGAAACGGGAUCGCUUGAGUCCGAGAGAGGAUGGCGGAAUUCCUAGUGUAGAGGUGAAAUUCGUAGAUAUUAGGAAGAACACCGGUGGACGAAGGCGGCCAAG